UAUCCGGUGGUUCUGUGUGGAAGGGCCAUCGCUCAAAGGAUAAAAGGUACGCCGGGGAUAACAGGCUGAUCUCCCCCAAGAGCUCACAUCGACGGGGAGGUUUGGCACCUCGAUGUCGGCUCAUCACAUCCUGGGGCUGAAGCAGGUCCCAAGGGUACGGCUGUUCGCCGUUUAAAGUGGUACGCGAGCUGGGUUCAGAACGUCGUGAGACAGUUCGGUCCCUAUCUGCCGUGGGCGUUGGAUGAUUGAGGAGAGUUGCCCCUAGUACGAGAGGACCGGGGUGAACGAACCACUAGUGUACCAGUUGUUCUGCCAAGAGCAUCGCUGGGUAGCUACGUUCGGAUGUGAUAACCGCUGAAGGCAUCUAAGCGGGAAGCCAACUCCAAGAUGAAUCAUCCCUGAAGAUCCGCAGAAGACUACUGCGUUGAUAGGCUGGGUGUGUAAGUGAUGUAAGUCAUUUAGCUGACCAGUACUAAUAGAUCGUUUGUAUUUACUUUAUUCUACUA
rnacentral:rRNA from 1 species